AGAGCGAACGCUGGCGGCAGGCCUAAUACAUGCAAGUCGAACGAACCCUUCGGGGUUAGUGGCGGACGGGUGAGUAACACGUGGGAACGUGCCCUUUGGUUCGGAACAACUCAGGGAAACUUGAGCUAAUACCGGAUAAGCCCUUCGGGGGAAAGAUUUAUCGCCAUUGGAGCGGCCCGCGUCUGAUUAGCUAGUUGGUGAGGUAAAGGCUCACCAAGGCUACGAUCAGUAGCUGGUCUGAGAGGAUGAUCAGCCACACUGGGACUGAGACACGGCCCAGACUCCUACGGGAGGCAGCAGUAGGGAAUCUUGCGCAAUGGGCGAAAGCCUGACGCAGCCAUGCCGCGUGAAUGAUGAAGGUCUUAGGAUUGUAAAAUUCUUUCAGCGGGACGAUAAUGACGGUACCGCAGAAGACGCCCGGCUAACUUCGCGCCAGCAGCCGC
rnacentral:rRNA from 1 species